UCCCAGGUAUCUAGAACAGCCAGGGCUGGAUUGGACUGAAACCAUGGGCCAGGAACUCAGCCUGUGUUUCCUGUAUGGAGGGAAGAUACCCACACCCCUGAACCAUCACCAUCCUCCUUCCAGGUGCAGCAGGGAGCAAAGGUGCGGCUCCAGCCCAGGCGCCUCAGUGUGACACAGCCAUCCUGAGCAGCAGCUUCACUCACGGCACCACAAGGCCCAGCCAACAGUGUUUAUGGUCAUUCAAUAUUGUACCAUUUCAAGGCGUGGGCUUGUUCCAUUUUCUUUACUAAACAGAAUAAUUUCUGAAUAAAGCAUGAUCUCAACAAUCAGUUGUCAGACUGACAAGAAGGUAGAACAUUCAACUCCUGUUUAGUAGAAAUAAUAUUCUCUGCAUAUUUACUAACACCUCCAAGAAUUUGAACAUUGUACUGCAGAAUCACUUGAAAGUGUUUGAUGAAAGUGCAGAAAUUAAUUCUCGUGAAUAUGGAAAUCUCCAUUUAAAAUUCAACUCCCAUAUAAUUCAGGUGCAAGUAUCUUUGGUGGACACUUUGCAAAUUAGUAGAUAUGAACUGUCAUCUUCUACUAGUGGAUUGGCUGGCCAUUGGGGCUGCAUGGAGAUCAGUAAAAGUGCAAUGACGAAGGUCUCUGUGAAGACUGAUUUUAGCAAGCACUUUGCAAUUUUACCUAAAGGGAGUAAUCCAUGUUGGUCUCUAGGCAUGAAGCGUAAUGAUCUGUUUUAUUAUCGUUAAUUUAUGCUCAAACUUCCCUUUGCUCUUCUUUUUAACCCACAUAGCAAUUAUGCAGGCUAACUCUUGCCUCAGGGAGAUGCUGCGGUAGGACUAAUUAAAUAUUAAUAUUUAAAGGACUUAGACAACCUUGUAAGUAAUAUGUUAAGAGGAGAUAAAAUCAUGAUGACCCCUUUAGUGGCAGGAAUGUUAAUGAAGCACUGGGAUCGCGCUUCCGUUUAAUGCCCAUGUCCUGCCUCUAAUGAGGGGCAGGCAGCAUAAUGUUGGAAUGAAGGACAAGGGUAACCUAUGGCUGUUCUUCUACCUCCUGGUAUGGAGGCCUAGAGCCAAGUUUCUAGUAUUUGUAAGUUGAUCUAAUUUUUCUUUCCUAGACCAGAGGGAUAAAAUCCCACCUCUGCUUUUGGAUUGUCAGGAUGGCAUGUGUGCCCAUAAAGGAUGGCAUUGUGUGCCCAUAAAGGACUGUGAUUUUUGUUAAUAUGAAUGAAUUUCAUGGGCCAUGAAUUUUUCUGAGUUUGAGACUUGUAGAUUUUUCCUUUUAUCCUAGACCUGUGUCUAGGUGAGUAGAGAUGGAUAUGCUCUGUUAGAACUAAUCUUAAAUUUAGAAAGAAGAAGGAGAAAUGGAAGGAAGACAAGGAGAAUGUAAUGGUUAAUUUCAGAUGUCAGCUUGAGUGGAGACAGGAACGGCAGGAUAUCUGGGAAAACAUCAUGCCUGUGUUUGUCUGGGGGAUGUUUCGAGGUUGGCCUGUUAGUCUGAGUGGGCUCAGAGGGCAGCCUCCAUUCUCCAUGUGGGCAGCACCGUUCAGUUGAACAAAGUAGCAGAAGGUAAAUUGUUGCUCCUGUAGCUGGAUCUCGCUUGUCUUCUGCCCUUAGCUACCAGAAACUCCAGACUCUGGUCUUUUCAGGGCUUACUAGUCCCUUUCCUACCCUCCAAGUUCUCGGUCCUUUGGACUUGGACUGAACCAUACCAUUGCCAUCUUAGACUCUCUCACUUGCAAAGUACUGUGGGAUUUUUAGCAACCAUGAUCCCUUUUACGCCCUCCCUCCCUUGCUUCCUUUCUUCCCUCUUCUCUGUUUUUCCCUUCCUUCCAGUGUAUCUCUUCAGAGAAUGCCGAUUAAUACAGAGUAGGACAAAACACCUUUCAACUCAGUCCCAGACUGCAGUUGGAGCAGGGAAAGCAGUCUGUUGGCAGAAGAUGAGGGCUCACUGUGUCUGUGCCUUAUCACUGUCAAAACGACAUGCCCCUCCAGUGUGGAAGAACCACAGGAAUGUUUAGGAAGCCCUGGCUUAGAGAUGACGUAGGAACUGCGUUUGUUUCCUAAAUUAGAGGACGAUGAAUUUGAAUUAGAAAUUUUUCUCAUUUCUUAAAAUUGUGUUUUAUUUUCCCCAAAUUCAUAAAGAAAAAGGAACUGGACUAAAUGAAAUUUGCAAUUCUUUUUUGCAAGUGAAAUAAAAAUUCAAUGGAAAACCACUUUAAAUACAUCAACAGUAACAUCUGAGAUGUUUCUGAAAAUUCAUCCACUUAUUGACCAAAUGCUUUUUGGCGAUUACUCAUUAACAACUAGAGAUAUUUAAUGAACUGUUUUUCUAGUGGAGUGUCUGUGAAAUUUGGUGGUAUUUUUUGUAUUUUGAUACAGACUUAGAGCCCAGCGAUGUUGUGCCAAGUCCGCUAGCCUUCUAAUUAGCUGUAUCGAAUAAAUAACAGAAGCGAUACGCCCGUGCUGCACAGCCACUAUAUGAUUGCUCUUGUGUGUUAGACUGCUCAUUAAUCUUAAAAAUGAUAAAUGAUUAUGUUCUGUGAAGCGUCCGAGGAAACAGAAUAAUUCUGAUAGAAUUAUGUGAUCUUCAAGCUUGUACCUACAGGAGCUAGGUGGUGCUGGAAACAUGAUUCCAAGUAAAUGCACAUUUUGGGACGUGUUGUUGACCCAUGUGUAGAUAUCUGAAACCUUGCAGAUCGGCUGUGACGAACUCUUCCUGCUCAUGUGGACACUGGUGAGGCAGCAGUGAUGGCCCAAGUCACUGGGCACUGCCACCCGGUGCUGAGCUGGUGAGUUCUGGCUGUUUCAGUCCAGCCCUAGCUUUGUGAGCAUUCCAGAAGUGAACCAGUGACUUAUUGGAAACUCUCUCUCAAAUAAUUUUAAAAACAUAUUUAAAAGUUCUCAUUACCCAUUUUCUCUAGUCUUCUAGAUUUGUGUGUGUAAGAGGUAGAGCUAGCACUGCUUCAGCAGAACUCUUUUGAAUUUUCUCAUUAUCUGCACGCUAAGUGUCAUUGAAACACAGCCCUGCGGGUCAGGACAGCUGUUUUCUGCGACCUGUGUUCUGACUUGGCAAUUAUGGAUGAGCCACCUACGGAUAAGUGUUGUGACUUCUCUCUUAUUCCACUUCCUGAUGUGCCAGAGAGGCUUCUGCAGGAGAGAAUGUCAGACACUUCCAGCCCUCGGGGGCGGGAUUCUAUCAUUUCUGAUCACACGCUCUGUGUUCUGUCUGUUGUUCUCCUCGUCCCUUCUUGCUUGUGAGGCUAGAAACUUUUCUUGGAACAAAACAUAAUACCUUGCUUUUUAUAGAGCUUAUACUGUGGGUGAAGAUAAGGAGAAGCCAAAUAAACCUAUGGUAUUAAUGAAAAUAAGGAUAGAUCAUGGUUUGCUAUGAACUGCUAAUCAUAUGAUCUAAGAGAACAAAGUUGACUGCUAUUAGUCUCCUGCUUGAUUUGCAGAAUAGCUGUUAAAAAAAUC